GAUGUUCGGAGCCCCCGGGGCUCGUGGCAGGGCCUCGCCUCCAUGCGACUCUCAGGAAGCGGCGGGUCAUCGUUGUUUGACACGCCAGCGCCACAGGAAACGUGCUCUGGCACAGGAAAGAAAUACAAUACGGGGCUUUCACAAAGCAACAGCCCGCCUGGGAGCUGGACACGCUAAAAUACUCAAACAACCCGGCCGCUUUGGAACACGCCUGUCGUUAUACCCCAUGUGUGGUGUCGCAGUGGACGCAAGGGUGGCAGAUGUCUACUUUUUCCGCAAAUGGACGGAGAGUCAUCUUUGGUUAAGAGCCCCCAGUGAGGGUACACUUGAGAUGGACCCCAAAAUGGAGGCGUGUUUUAUCUGUUUACACUCCUUGCCAUUUCACCUUGUGGAGUGCUACUUUCAUGUCCCCCCUCCUUUGCACUUGGCUUUGAACCGUCAUGCAGGUUGUUGCUUUAUGUGGCAAAACAUCCACUGGCCACAAGUGCCAUGACCCCCCCCCCACUUGUGUGGAGAAGAAAAGAGGAUAGCUCAAAUGUAGGUUCUAUUUCUGCAUUUUUCCAAUCUGUUAAAGGAACCAUAUCAUGCUCAGAAAUUGUGUUAGCUGGGAGAUGUUUCACAUCUGCAAUGUCCAACUGACCAUCUAUGGGACAAAUUGUUUGAAAGAACGAACCCAGGUUAUUUUAAAUCUCAUUUGUCUUUCACGGCGUAUCGGCCGAAUAUGAACUCGGCAUUUUGAGCAGUGAUCAACUUCUCAUUUCACUUUCAGGGGGUGCGUUUGUUUUGUAUCAAAAGUAUACAAGCAAUGUGUGACGUUGAUACCUGAUCCCAACCAAUUUGAGGGAUUAGUGUUGUAUAUCAAAGCAAGAAGCCUAUCCGUGUUUGACCACAUGUUCCAACCAAAUGGGGGUGGCCAUUUUGCCACUUGCUGAUGACAUCACAGUUGCCCAGGAUCCCCGAGAUGCAAAUUACGGUUCCUGCCACCCCUGACGACCGGCAAUUACCGGGCCUCCGCAGCCAUCGCCGCCGAAGAGGAGGAGGAGGAGGAGGAGGAGGA